GAUGGCUGUUUAAAAGACCCCUUCCCUCUCUCUCUCUCUUGCUUCUUGCCAUGUGACAUGCCCGCUCCCAUUCACCUUCUGCCAUGAUUUGAAACUUCUUGAUUCUGAGAUGAUUAGAAAGUUCUGGGAGCCCUCACUGGAGGCAUGGUGCCAGCAGAUGGAUUUACUGCUUGAUUCUGUUCUGGAUUCUAUUCAAAAACUUUUUAUCUGUUGGGGACCACUCUGCUACAGGUAUGUAAAUGACAUCCAGUGGAAUCUCCUCACUUUGUCUGGUUUCUGGGGACCAUUAUAAGGUUUUUAUGAGAACAGUGAGUCACUGCUUAAGCAACCAGUAUUCAGCUAAAGAAAUUGGGUGGCGCAUGCCUGUACUGUGGUCCCAGCUACUCUGGAGGCUGAGGCAGGAGGAUUGCUUGAGCCCGGGAGGCUGAUGCUGUAGUGAGCUAUGAUCACACCACUGCAUUCAGUGGGUCUUCAUUUCCUUAUGAAGGCUCCUGUCUCCUGUAAAAUUUAUAUUGAAUACAUUUGCAUGGUUUUCCCUUGUUAAUCUGCUUUUUUGUUGCAAGGGCUCCAGUCAGGAACCUAGAAGGAUAGAAAGAAAAGUUUUUUCCUUUGCUGCCCUACAUUUCAGAUGAGAAAACUGAGGCUCAGAGAGGGAAACGGACCUGCCCAAGGUCACACAGCCAGCACAAGGUAGAGCUGGGAUUCGAACCCGGUCUACCUGGCCCUUCCAUUACACUUUCAGUGCUGAUGCUAGCUUUGGUGUAAACCAAACUGGAACACAUCAUGUGUUUAGCACAGCACCAGGCAAAUAGUAAGCGCUCAACAAAUGCAUGGUUCUUGUCCUUGUUUUCUUUGCUUGACUUUCAGGACAAAGCUCGUAACCCCCCAAAGGCUUGAUGAUCGACUCUGGCUAUGAUUGACUCCGCCCACCACCACAUGUCCCUUACUCUAGUGCUGGCGUGAAAUCACGUGCUGACCUCACCCUACAUCUCACCCUCAUCUUCCACCAUCAUCUAAAUAGUACCUGGCAGAAGCAAUCCAUCCUCCUUCAGGGAGUCGUCCUGGAUGGGCACCUCCCUUCCAGUUAUGGAGGCUGCAUCCAAUUUCCAGGGGCUGCGUCUGGUGAGGUCCUUCUUGCUGCUGCUGACUCUCUGCAGAGUCCCAAGGUGGUAAAUAGGGAAGCAAAGGGGGCUGGGACCAGACCCUGGGCCCCUUCCACACUUAGAGGAAGAGCCAAGACUGCGUGGUGUCAUGGAAGCCAAGGAAAGAAGAUGCUUCAAGAAGGAGGGAGCACAACUGUGUCCAAAGCUGCCAAGAGGGCCAGUAAUAUGGGGACAGAGGAGUGAUCAUUGGGUGACCUCAUUCAGUUCCACAGUGAAAGUCGCAUCUGGACACCAGGGACUCCCAAUUGCAGAUUCUGUCUUCACCCUGACACUCCCCUGCACCUCAGUGGCGUGUACACACCUGCCUGUUGAAGCUCUCUCCGUGAAUGGUUGUCUUAGUGUGUUUGUGCUGCUGUAACAGAAGUACCCAAGACUGGGUAAUUUAUAAAGAACAGAACGUUAUCUCUCACAGUUCUGGAGGCCGAGCAGUCCAAGAUCGGGGCAAGAAGAUUUUGUGUCUGGUGAGGACUGCUCUCUGCUUUCAAGAUGGUGCUUUCUUGCUGUGUCCUCACAUGGCAGAAGAGUUAGAAGGGGCACAUCAACUCCCUCAAGGCCUUUUGUAAGGACACUAAUUCCAUCCCAAAGGUCCCACCUCCUAAUACUAUUACAUUGGGUCUUAGGUUCCAACAUGAAUUUUGGAGAGACACAGACAUACCAUAGCAAUGGUCAGUGGGCACUCAUUCCCAACUUGGCUAAAAAUAAAGACUCAUGACUUUGGAUAAAUUAAGUAUUCUGGGCCUCCGUUUCCUCAUCUGUAUAGAGUGGUUGUGAGGCUUACAGAAGAGAUUCCAUGUAGAACAGCCUCUUCACCAGGAAUGAUUUUCCCUAGGGGCCAUUUGGCAGUGUCUGGAGACAUUUUUGGUUGUCCAACUCUCUCUCUCUCUGUGUACACUCAUGCAUAUACACGUGCAUGCAUAC